CUGCAUAUGUGGCUAUUGCAAUCGGGUCCUCAUACAAUGGAACACCAUCAAAGCCUAAUGACAAGGACAGGACAUCGACACCAUCAAUGAUGGCUUGAUCGACUGCAGCGAGGAGAUCAGCAGCGUAAAAGCCUUCCUCCCACAGGGGCUUGUACAUGGCCACUCGGGCCAGUGGAGCCACGCCAGAGGCAGUCCCUGGAGCAUAGCCGAAGUAGGAGGCAUCCGCAACAUAAUUUCCAGCUGCCGUGGUGGAUGUGUGGGUGCCGUGUCCAGCAGUGUCACGCGAAGAGUUCAAGGAGAUUGUAAUGUUGGGAUUUUUGGCUACCAAGGCCUUGUUGAAGAACCGGGCUCCGAUGAGCUUUUUGUUGCACAUCGAAGCAUUGAAUUGGGUCCCAACCUCACAUUCGCCUUUCCAUUUUGACGGAAUUGUCGUCAUUCCGCCAUCACUGAAGCUCGGGCUUUCCGGCCAAACACCCGUAUCGACAAGCCCAACUAUGACAUCCUUGCCAUAAUCCGACGUAGGCCAUGCCCCAGAAUUAGAAUUCAAGCCAAGAAAUUGGGUCGAGUGAGUCGUAUCGACUUUACCAGGCAAAUCCUUCAUGGAAGAGAUGUAGCCCGGAGAGUUCUUGAGGGCCUCGAGCUCGAGAGGAGAGAGACUAGCACUAAAACCCUGCAUGACAUGAGUGUAACUGUAGAUGAGUUUAGCAAAAGUGGGUGUGGCAGUGGUUUUGGCUCUAACUUUAGGAUUAGGACUUUGCACUAGCGAUGAAACGGUGGCCAAGAACCAGCUAUGGUGGUCAGAGAAGGCUUUGGGCAUGGAGGAUAAGUCCAUGUGGAUAAUAUAAUUGUCGGACUGCCCCGUUGUCGAGGCAAAGCAGAACAUGGUCAGAAUUAGGAGCGUCAUCAAGGAUGAAUGAACGCGAUCAGCCAUGAUCGAUUGAAGUGAGCUAGUUUUAGAGUACAGCUGAAGCUUUGUGCCUUUAUAUAGGGAAUAGAGAUGUAUAGGGGGCCCAAGAGAACCUCAACAUAGUCGUCCAUUACUAGUUAAUUGGUAUGUUGAUUUGUUUGGUGUCUUAUGGCUGACCCUUAUCUCAAUGAUCUAUUCUCAACCUAUGGACGUAUUCCACGACAAAUCGAAGGACGAUUGGGGGAGACAAAAGGAUUGGAAAAGUGUAUGCGUUUUUAUUAAAGUCACAUUGCUGUCGGGUGUUAGUCGACUUUUUAUUUUACCUUGUGAUUGGAAAUUGAGGGAUGCUCCACUUGUUUUUGCUCCGUACCACCUUAUAUUUUCGACACCGCAGAUGAAAAAUAAUCCAAGUGGGAGCAUCCUUUCAAAAUUACUUUGGAAAUUUAGAACGCCAAUAGGGGACUUCGUGCAAUUAUCUCUUCGUUUAGAGGGACACGCACAUAUAGAAUCGCUAAGAAUCCAGAGCAUGAUUUUUGGUCGAUAUUGACGGGCUUAUGUUGCAACAUCAUAACAUCUCAAUCUCUAUCAAGUUUCUUUAGCAACUUCAUGGUUUAUCUUAAGGGCGAAGAUGUGAGGGGUUGUAAGACAAACUCUCACUUUAGGAGAAUUGAUAAGUUGGGUAGCAAUUGAUAUACUGUAAUUAACCCACAACUUAUCACUUUAAACUUUUAAAUGAUGGUUGGUCCAAUUAGAUAUGUUAAUUGGCUUGAAUUUAGACGUUCUCUUGAUAAUCUUUUAAGAUUAUCCUGAGAAAAUUUUCAAUUAAUUCUAAAUAUAUCAUACAUAUGUCUUUAAUGAGGGAUGUUAAAUGGAGUCCCAAAUCGAAGAAUUGAUGUGGUGAGUAAAGCGAAUAAAAUUACUUGGCCAUAAUAUAUCGGCUUAAGUUUUGAGUGAAUACUCAAGAUGAAAACUCUUUCAUGAUGAUAUAUUCUCUUACCAUGGGGUACAACCGUGAACCAAGUCGAAACGGAAAGUACUAGCGAAGGCAACUGAAAGAACUUUAAAGGAUAGGAAUCCACCCACCAUCUAUCCGCUCCUCGAUUGUACAACCAGGGUCUCCGUCACUCGUGGUUUCGCCAGGAAAAGAGGACUAAAACGUAAAGAUCAAUUGCCCUAUGAGGACAAACAUCAUAAAAGAGUCUUUCCGUGGCCACCGACGUCUUAUCAGAUCCUAAAUAAUAUCGUUCUUGAACACAUCUGUUCGGCUUCAUUCGAAAAUUCGAACUUCGUGCUCCUGUUUUUCUUCCCCUUUUCUUCUUCUUUGAAGAACUGAUCCUUGCUGUGAUUGGAUCUGAUGGUUCCCAGGCUUGAAAUCGUCAAACACAUCCCGAGAACGUUGAACAAUAUUUUAGUUCACAACGUCCGCGUUGUACAUUCACGGGGGACCAAAGGAGUCGAGAUGAGAAAUAUAUUUUUUUGUCCAGAAUAGCUGACCAUUUCAACAAGAGGAUAAAAAGGAAAAACUAAUUCAUUUAUCUUGCAGUAGCUGUUGAUGUUAAGUUUGGCAAGGGGUCCCUAUUGAUAAAUUUGUCAACAUCUAGAAAAGAGACGAGAGAAAGUGGUUCCUCCUUUAUUAUUGCAACUCUUAGAGAGGAAGUAAUCAUGCUCCCACUUUAAUAAUACUACUUAAAAAUCAUUCCUUUUUUUUCCACCUUUUGUUGUUUUCUUGUCCCGUGAUUCCAAGGAGAAAUCAUCAAAAGGAGGCCGGUAAGGACGUGCAUUUGGAUCGAAGCGGGUGAGAAUCAAUGUAAAAGGAGGCAAGAACAUUUUUCCAAGUCGAAGGGUUCACACCACUUUAAGAUGAUGUACCAACCUCAAUAUUUACAUCCUUCGUCCGCUUGAGUUUUCGCGUUGAUGUUCUUUCUUGCUGUCAGUGAAAUUUGUCUUGGGGCCUUCGACUUUGACUAGGGAUGGCUAUGGAAUAAGGUGGGAACGGGUCGUGUCCCUCGUCUCAUUCCUACCUUCUAGAUCAUUAGGGAUGCCUCGUAUUUGCUCAAGACCUAGUCUCCCCCCUACAUCAAUAGUUAUUUAUCUUUAGUUAUAAAACGUUACAGAAAUCCUGUACUUAAAAGAGAGAGAGAAAUGAUUGUCAAGUAGUACUCCAUUAACUUCAUCUGUCUUUUAGAAAAUAUUAUUAUAUAUGUAACAUCCCGGGUCUCUACUGUACUGUACACAUAUUGUUCGCUUUGGACACUAAGUUCUCAUGGUUUUGUUCCUCUCGGGGUAGCCCAUAUUACCCCAAGAAAAGGCGUAUGUACAGUUUAGAGGGACCCAAGCUUUAUAAGUUAGCCCAUGACUCCCUCCCUAGGCGAUGUGGGACAGGAGAGGGACUCCUUCUUUGCGCACGUCUGAGGACCAUGGCUCAGGCCGUCACAAGGCACUUGGGUCCCCCUAAACUGUACAUACGCAUUUUCUUGGGAUAGUAUCGGUUGUCCCGAGAGGAACAAAACCGUGAGGACUUAGUGUUCAAACCGGACAAUACGUAUACAGUGGAGACCCGGGAUGUUACAAUAUAAAACUAAACUUUGGUAGUUGAAGUAAAAGUUGCAGAGCAGGGAGAGUUGGGGAGGCAAAGCAAGAAUGAAAUGCGACCAAAAUGGACAGUUUUGUACCGAGCAAUCUCAUUAAUUAUUACUCAAGUUCUGGUUGUAGUCUUCAUCUUAUGAGUUUUUAUCCAAACAAGCAGAUGAUAGUCUACAGUGACAAAAAGUUUUCGCACGUUAGACUUAGCUCCAACGGACAUGUCAGCUACUACAUUGGGAGUAAGAAGGACUUCUUUAUGUAAAUUAAAAUUCCAAAGAUUUGAUUUGAAAAAAUAAUGCGCAGAUUCAGGAACUAAAAGUAAGAUUUUAGCUUUUUAUAAUAACGCUUAAAGGGCAUAUCAAUUAAUUUAGGGGAAAUUGCAUUUCCGGUCUUUGUUAUAUUUAGUGAAUUAACUUUUGGUGAUUAUACUUUUUUUGCUUACAAUACUAGUCCUUAUGCUACUCUCCUACGACAAUUUAAGUCCUCUUGACAAUUUUUCGUUCGUAAUUCAUCGGAAAAUGCUAAACAACGUCGGCUAUAUUGACAUGCAGCACUUAUGUCCGCAAACCUCUUAAAUUUCUUUAACUUUUGGUCCCGUACUUUAGGAACUAUCAAAAUUAGUCCAUGCACUUUGUUUUAGUAAAAAAAUUAUUCAUUCUUCGGUCUAGAAACUGUCAGCGAGAGCAGACUUUGAGAUUAAAGUCCAGUGGUCUUUAGACUUUGAUAGUAGAGUCUGAAGUUCUUUAUACUAUAACACUUGAGUCUGCAAGUCUUCAGAUUAGUUUUUUGGAAAUGUUUUGUUAGCUUCAAAACAAUAAAUGGAUUUUUUCUAACGAUCUCUCAUUUUUUUUUAUGGUGACAAAACUUUCCUACAGAUUUGAAAAUUUUGACCUGCAAAACAACACUUAAGCAAAACGUGAUAUCUUAUAAAAAUAAGUUGAUAAGGACUUGAAUAGUAUUGAUUCUGCAACUACAGAAAACAUGUUAAUCCUGCAAGAUAAAUAACUAUCCAGCCAUAAUCAAUAUCACAAACUUAGUUACUACAAGUGUAAAAAAGAUUCAAAGUCAAAUGGCAGUCAAAAGUCCAAAGUAUACCAAUCCAAAGUCAGUCCAAAACCAAACCAAAAAGUAAAUAAGUUCAAAAGGUCAUCAAAAUCAAAUAUCAAGCAAAAAGUACCCAAAAGAUAAGUCAGGUCAAAUCUGCACAAACUUUCCCCCUUUUUGUCAAUAGCAAAAAGUGGAGAAUGACUAUAAAAAGAGUUGAGUAAAAAUUAUGGCUAUUUGGGGAUACGAACGAUCUGGAAAUCCCUAUAGACUUGACAGUCUCCUCCAGCUUCCUCAGAGUCUCCUUUAGCUGUUGAAUAUCCUCACCCUUUGCAGUUUCUUGCACUUGAAUCUUCAGGGCUUGUAAUUGUUCUUGUAGAGAUUUUGAAGUUGACUCUAAAGCUGUCUUGAGGUUUUUCAUCUCAAACUUGAAACCAUAUUCCUGACCCUUCAAUUCCAAAAGGAGAUCCAACAGCCUUUGAAAGUCUACUAUUGGUUUCGAUUUAGUAUUGGGUCUAGCCGAAUCAAUUCUAGGACUCUUGAGAUGUGAGGGAACAUCAGUAGUUCGAUCACUAGGACUUGGAGUGGAUGCAUCAAUAUCUACUUCAGGAUAUUGAGAGGCAUAGACAUCCUUUGGAUUUGCUGGAGAUCUACUAACAUCACUAGUAAAAAUAAGUGAAGAAGUACCUCUUUUGUCAGUUGCUCCCCCUGUUUCUGUGCAUUCAGUUGGAUAAAAGAAUUCAUCUUCAUGUUCUUGCUCUUGUUUAGUACCCAAGUGAUGUUUUUCUCCUACAUUUCCACUGAUUGCCUUUUCCGAGUCAUUUAACAAGGAUACAACAAAUGUUGGCUCAAGAGAGUCAUCUUGACCCUCUUCUUCUUCUUCUUCUUCUUCUUCUUCUUCUUCUUCUCUACCUCUUUCUUCUUCCUCUGUUCUCCUUUCUUCUCUUUCUUCACCUCUUUUCUCUGUCUCUUCUCUUUCUUUGUUCUCUUUGUCCUUUGGCUCCUCAAAACUAACAAAGCUCCUUAAAUUUCUUAAGGCAAAAGCGGAGAGAGUGAUAUCGUCAUCAUCUUCUUCAUCCUACAAGAUAAGGGUUCUCCUAUCCUUGAUAGGUGAGCUAAUUGGCUCUUUGCCUUUCCUCUUCUUCGCUGCAGAGUCUUGUUUAGAUUUGGCAAGGGAUUCCUCCUUCAGAUGCUCCAAUGCCUUAUUCAGUUCCUUUAGUCUCAUUUUUGAAACCAUCUUCAGUCCAACCGCCAUUAGAGCAAUGGUUCAAAUACACAGAGUAGCAGGAAACUGAAUGUUGAAAUGUCUGAACAAUCUAGUAACAAGCACAGAGUAAGGGAGUUACCCCUUGUCCUUUACAACUGUCUUAUACAUGUGCAUUAGGAUAGUGUGAGGUAGUGGGAACUUGAAUCCGAUGUUGAUUGCAUACAUCAGCUUUGCUUGAGUGAGAGACAUCAGUUUUUGAAGUAGAUUUGGGUCUGAUACAAUUGAUCACAAUUUUGUGAAGCAAAAUAUUGAAUGCAGUCAUUCUAGAGUAAGAGAUCUUGCCUUCAGCAAACCUGUCUCGAACAAGAGCCAAAGUUGCGUGACCAACAGGCACCCUGAUUGGUUGGAAACUCCCUAUUUCCACACCUAUUUCCACACCAAUCACAUUUGCCAAGGUGUCUACGUCCACCACAAAUUCUUUGUCUCUAACUGUAAAAGAAAAUCUAUUUGCAUCUAGAAAAGACAGAUUUGAAUAGAAAUAGUCAGUCAAUUCAGGGUAGGUGACAAAUGUCUCUGUACUGAAUUGUUCAAGUUGAAGGAGAGCAAACUUCUCCCUCAAUUUCACCUUCAAAGAAUCAAGAAAAUCGAAAUCCACACAUCUAGGGUUCAUCGCCCCUCUCUUCAGCAGUUUUGAAUAAGUCUUCCUAUGGUUCUUAGAACGAAGUAAGUUCGUUCCCUCACCAUGAACAUUUGCAGCGACGCUCAUCCUAGGUUGAAAAUUCGUGUACAUCAUUUCAUCAUCAUCCUUCCCUUCGAGUUGAUUAAAAGUUCCAAACUGUGGAUCACUUGAAAAGUUGGCAAAAGUCUUUGCUGCCAAACCUAUAGGCGCAUUACCCUUCUUUUCCAUAGAUUGCAAAAACAAGGUUUCGUUCUUGUAGUCUCUCUCUUGUAAAAACUCAUCGAUGAAUGUCAUCACAGUAUCACCCUCCUUUAACUUAGAGUAGAGUUUAAAGAGAAAUUUCGGUUUCAACGUUCUUAUGGGUUCAACAUUUUCAAUGAUCUCUUCUUCUGCUUGUUGCUGCGGAGGGACUUGAGUCCCUUGCUAUGAAGAGCGACGCUGUUGAGAAUGUUAUUUUUGUUGCUGCUGCUAAGGAUAAUCCUCUUACUCGGUUAGAUCAAAGUGGGUAUGACCCUCUGACAUGUGUUGUGGUCCCCUGUUCGCAAUUCUAGAAGACUUCCUCUAGAAAGAUAUUGUCACUAUCUUGGAGGAUUUCUUGAACUCACUUGUUGAAAAAGAUGAAAACUUUUUGGAUUAAACUUGAGAGAAAAUGAGAAAAGUAUGAUCUCUGUAUUCUAGGGUUUGAGUGAGUGUAAAUGAAGACGAAAAGACUCAACGAUACAAAAAGAGAGUGAAAUGGGAUAAAUGAACCGUCACACUGAAAAAGCUACCAUUUUUGUUAAAAAAAACUUCCAAAAAUUCAAAAAUUCAAAAAGAUAAUUUCUAAAAAUAAAAUGGAUAGAUAACGAUUCAAAAACAUACCUUUUCAAGAUUUUCUUUCUAAAAUUAAAUUACAUGUAUCGAAGAGAUAUUAACUUACUAAAGUAAUUUUUGGAUAUUCUGAGUCUGACCAACUUCACACUUUAGUUGGAAGAAGAGAUAAUAUUUAGUCUAGUACGAAUAGACUCAAUUAGACUUUUCUCAAGUGACCUUGUAAAUAUAUUCGCCAGCUGAUUCUUUGAGUCCAUAAACUGAAUAAUAACAUCUCCACUUUGAACAUGAUCUCUUAUAAAAUGAGAUCGAAUCUCAAUAUACUUUGCCCCUGAAUGAAGAAUUGGGUUCUUCAUGAGAUUGAUAGCAUUGGUGUUGUCGCAUUUGAUCUCGGUGCACAAUUCUUCAAUUCCAAAGUCUCUUAGCUGUUGUCUUAUCCAUAAAAUUUGAGAACAACGGCUCACAAGAGCCACAUACUCUGCUUCCGAUGUUGAUAAAGCUACAGUACUCUGCUUCCUUGAGAACUAGGAAACAAGCUUGUUGCCAAGCAGUUGACAAGUGCUAGAAGUAUUCUUUCUAUCAACUUUGCAACCUGCUAAAUCUGUGUUUGAAUAUCAAAGAAGAGUAAAGUCUCAUUUUUUGGGAUAUCACAGACUUAGCUUUGGAGUAGUUGCGACAUAUUUGAUGAUGCAUUUUGCAGCACUUAAAUGAGAUUAUUUGAAAUCUGAUUGGAAUCUAGCACAAAUGCAAACACUAAAUAAGAUGUCAGGUCUAGAUGCAGUAAGAUAAAGAAGUGAACCAGUAAUGCUCCUGUAAAGCUUCUGGUCUACACUAUUUCCUUCUUCAUCUUUAUCCAGCUUCGAAGAACUUGACAUUGGUUUCUUUGUUUUCUUGCUAUUCUCUAAUCCAAAUUUCUUGAUAAGAUCUUUCGCAUACUUUUCUCGGUGAAUGAAAAUCCCUUUAUUUGAUUGUUUGACUUGUAAUCCGAGAAAGAAGGUUAAUUCAUCCAUCAUGCUUAUCUCGAAUUCAUACCGCAUAGAUUUAGAAAACUUAUUGCAUAGAUUUUCAUUAGAAGAUCCAAAAAUAAUAUCAUCAAUAUAAAUUUGAAUCGAUAGAAAAUCUUUACCUUCUCUUUUUAUGAAUAAUGUAGUAUUUACCUUUCCUUCUUCAAAAUCAUUUUGAAUUAAAAAUUUACUUAACCUUUCAUACUAGGCUCAAAGAGCUUGCUUUAAUCCAUAUAAGGCAUUUUUCAGUGUGUAGACAGAGUUUAGCUUUCUUGGAUCUUCAAAACCAGGUGGUUGUUCUAUGUAGAUUUCUUCUUGGAUAAAUCCGUUUAGAAAUGCACUUUUGACGUCCAUUUGGAAUAACUUGAAAAUUUUUAUAGCAAGCAAAAGCAAGUAAUAAUCUAAUUACUUCUGACCUCACUACUGGUGCAUAUGUCUCGUCAUAGUCUAUCCCUUCUUCUUGAGUAUAUCCUUUGGCCAUGAUUCUUGCUUUGUUUCUAACCACUUUUCCUUUCUCGUCCACUUUGUUCCUAAAAACCCAUUUAGUUCAAAUAAUAGAUUUAUCUUUUGGUUUAUGAAUUAGCUCCAAGAUAUUGUUGAUGCUAAACUGUUUGAGCUCUUCUUGCAUAGCUUUGAUCCAUCUUUCAUCAAACAGGGCUUCUUCUACACACAAAACUUCUUCUACAUAUUUGGGUUCUAUCUUAGAAAUAAGUGCUAGUGUGCUAGACUCUUCUUGUCUUUUGGAUCUGGUGCGAAUUCCUUCAUCAAUGUUGCUGAUGAUGAGAUUUGUAGGAUGACUUGACUUAUACUUCUAGUUGCUUGUUGGUCUGAAAGUCUACUGAUCCUCUGCUUUAGUUGGAUCUUCUAAUUUUGCUUGAUGUUGAUCUUCAGCAAUCUAAGUCACUUCGGGGGAGGUAGACUUUGUAAAGUCUGGAGCAGGUUCAAAUUCUUCAAGAUGAGUUUGGUCUUCUUGGUUCUCCACAAAGUCUUGAAAUUUAAUGUUCAUAGACUCUUCUACUGAUUGAGUCUUCUUAUUAUAUACUUUGUAUGCUUUGCUUGAGGUUGAGUAGCCAAGGAAAAUUCCUUCGUCUGAUUUCUCUUCAAACUUCACGGUUCAAUCAUUUGCAUUUUUCAAAAUGAAAUAUUUACAACCAAACACAUGAAAGUAAAAGACAAUUGGCUUCUUCCCUUUGUAGAAUUCAUAAGGAGUUUUCUUUAGAAUAUGCCUCAAGAACACUCUGUUAAUAAUGUAGCAAGCUGUAGAAACUGCUUUAGCCCAAAAUUGAGAUGGAAUUUUACUCUCAAUUAAGAGGGUUCUAGCCAUUUCCUGCAAGGAUCUAUUCUUCAUUUCCACAACCCCAUUUUGCCAAAAUGGGGUAUAUAGAGAAGAGAAAAGAUGCUGUAAACUAGAUUCAUCACAAAAUUUUGCAAAGUCUUAAUUCUCGAACUCACCAUCAUGGUCUGUUCGUAUGCUUGAAAUAACAUAACCUUUCUUAUUCUGAACUUUCUUGGCAAACUUUGAGAAGUGAGAGAAUGUUUCAGACUUAUUUGCCAAAAUGUAAACCCAAGUAAAACGAGAGUAAUUAUCUACGAUUGCUAAGUAGUAUUUCUUUCCAUCAAUGUUUUGAGUUCUGGUUGAUCCAAAGAGGUCCAUAUACAGAAGCUACAAAACAAGAUUUGUAGAAAUUUGAUUUAUAGGUUUAAAAGAACUUAUAAUAUAUUUUCCCAAAACACAAGGAGUACAUGGAUCAGACUUUUGAUAGCUCAAGUUGGGAAGACCUCGAACAAGCUUCUUGGAUGAAAUUUUGGCAAUCUGCUUCAUGUUGACAUGACCAAGCUUUCAAUGCCAAAGAUUUGCUUCAUCUUGAAUGGAUAUAAGACACUGAGAACUUUCUAGUUUUACAUCCAGAAGGUAAAUAUUUCCAUGCCUUCAUCCAGUGAAAGAUUGAGAGAGAUCUUUACUUGUUCCUGAAUAAAUACCUUCUUGGAAGUUGAUUUUGAAUCUUGUGUCACAAAGUUAACUUAUGCUGAGUAGAUUGUAAUUCAGACCUUUCACUAAGGAGACAUUGUUGAUAGUCAAAGCUUCUAUUCUUCAUGGUUCCAUAUCCAAUGAUUCUUCCUUUGUUGUUUCCACCAAACGAAACUUUUCCACCAUUUAUUUGAACAACCUUUAUAAAACAACUAGAGUCUCCAGUCAUGUGCCUCGAACAACCACUAUCCAAAUACCAUUUGAUUUUUCUCUUGAUAUUGACCUAUAAUCAAAAGGAAAACUUAAGCUUUCUUUGGUACCCAUAUUUUCUUAGGUCCAGGGGAGUUAGUAUUAAACACUAUCUUUGCCCAAUCCCUCUUAACGGGUCUUCAAACCUUGGGACAUUCCUUUUUGAAAUGUUUAGAGCUAUUACACUUUGAACAUUUGAGAGCAUUGCUGCCAACAUGUUUUACAAAAACCUUUUGAAAGUGAUUUUUGUAAAAUGCCUUUAUAGGUCUUUAUCUAAUCCUUUCUUUAACUUUGGGAAAAUCAAUUAAACGAACAAUUUCUGAAGUCAUUCUCAAACCAGACUUGUUUUAUUAAGGUGUUUGUACUGAAAGAAUUUUCUCUAGCUUCUCAUAUCCUAUUGAAAAUCUUUUUGUAAUGUUUGAGAUGUCUUCUUUCAAAAGUGCAUUUUCUUUUGUAAGAGAAUCGAAGUUUGUUUCUAAAUCAACAAAACUUUUAUCUAGAUUUUCAAACUUUUCUUUCCAAUGAGUUUCUUGUUGCUUGAGUUUUGAAUUUUCCCUUUUCAGUUCGAAAAUUCUCUUAAGAGAGGCUUUGAGAUUAAGAUAGAGUUCAUCUAUAUACUUUGAGACUUUGAGACUUUAACGGGAAUUUUUGUUUACUUACCUCAAUUUCCUUGUCUGAGUCUGAGUCUGAAUUUGUUUUAGAGUUUGUAUCUGAUUUAUAAUUUGCCAUUAAACAAAUAUUGGCAUAUUCUUCAUCACUUUCUUCACAUUUUGUAUUACUCCAUGUCUCAGCUUUAAGAGUUUUUUUUGUAUUUCUCAGUUUUUCCUUUCGUUUUCUUUAACAGAGGAUGGUUAGGUUUGAUAUGCCAAUUUUUCUUAUAUUCGAAGCAAAUCACAUCUUGGGUAGUUUCAUUGUCCUUAGCUUAUCUUUUUUGGAACUUUUGCAUGCUUUGCUUUUUCCAGUUGAAUUCUCUUCCCUUCUUGUUCAACUUUCAGAACUUUUUGAUCAUGAGUGCUAGCUUUUCAUCAUCCAAAUCAUCUUCAAAAUCUAUAUCAUCGGAAUUAUCGUUAGAUUUCAAAGCAAUUGACUUCUUAUCUUUGAAAUCUUCAUCCUCAUUGAUUUGCUCCACUUCAUAUAACUGAAGUGUGCCAACUAGUUCAUCUACUGAAAGAGGCAUGAUCCUUUGGGUUUCUCUGAUCGAUGUCUUCACGUGAUUUUAGUCUUUUGAUAGUCCACACAACAGUUUAUUGACCUUCAUUGGUCCUGAAAUUGGCUGUCCUUGAUAUGUCAGGCUGUUUACGAUUUCUGUAAAGCGACUGAACAUAUCAGUGAUGGAUUCACCAAGCUUCAUCUUGAAGGCUUCGUACUAUCUGAGUAGAAUAUUGAUCUUCAUUUCCUUUACUCGAUCAGUUCCUUCAUAAGUAACGUGCAAUCUAUCCCAAAUUUCUUAUGCUAUUUCACAAGAUGAAAUUCGAUUAUACUCAGUAGGAGAUAAAGCACAGUAUAAGGAGUAGAUGGCUUUAGCAUCAAGAGCUUAUCUUUUGGUUAAUUUUACUUGUGAUAAUUUGCCAGCAUCUUCAACUUCCUUUUCUCUUUCUGAGGUUGAUGUAGCUUUGGGAAUGAUCCACAACAUCCCAUCCAAGGAAUCUUUCGAUCUCAGGAAUGCUUUCAUCUUGUUUUUCCAUACGUUGUAUUGCUUUCCAUCAAAGUAUGGAGGUUUGGUGUUGCUUUGUCCUUCAAUUAAUCCUGGAGCAAAAAUAUUAGCCAUAGAUCUUUAGCUUAAGAAGUAAUAAACACUUCAAAUGAAAUAAGCACACAAGCUCUGAUACCAAUUGAAAUGGCUAGUAUGAACACCUAAAGGGGGGUGAAUAAGUGUUAAUUUUUUUUUUUUUUUGCAGAAACGUUUAUAAUUUUUUUUUCUUUCGAAAUGGAAUCUACAAAGUAAUGGACUAAAGUGAGUAUAGCAAUUAAUAAAUUUAUGAAUGAAUAAAAAAGUUUAGGGAAGAAUAUGAGAACACAAAGUUUAUAGUGGUUCGGCUUAGAUCAAGCCUAUAUCCACUCUCCCGCACUAACAGCCUACUAGCUAGAAUCCACUAUGAAUCAAAAGAAAUUUUACAGUCUCACGAUUUUGGCUUCACAGUGCAGAGAUUCUACUAUACUCUUGCGAAAUCUCACAAGUAUUUACUUUCUCUUUUGAGUACAAAUUUAGCUUAACAAUUGAAAUAGUAAAGAACUAGGAAGCUUUAAAUUUUGAAAUUUUUCUUUCACGCUCUCUCGAAAAACUAGCAAGUUUGCCUUAAAUACUUCUUCAUGCAUUCUUCCAAUCUACCUGUUGGACAGAAUCAAUUAAGGAGAUCUCAAGUUGUUUGAAGAUCGAGAUGAAAGCAUGUCAAUUCUGUUCGCCCAUACAAUUAGGAACUUGGUUUUCAUAAGUAGAAUUUUCCAAAUAUACUUGACAUUCAAAAGAUUUGAUUAUCCGAAUUGAUUCCAAUAAGGAUAAUUGAUCAUAUAGGUGCUAUAUCCAACCAUAAGGUCUUCCAAAAAAUCAUACGAAUUGAAUUCUUGAAGAUAAUCUCACAUCUGGAUAAGUCUUCAUUCUUCGGUCUGGAAACUGUUAGUGAGGGCAGAUUUUGAGAUUAAAGUCCGGUGAUCUUCAGACUUUGACAGUAGAGUCUGAAGUUCUUCAGACUAUAACACUUGAGUUUGCAAGUCUUCAGACUAGUCUUUUGGAAAGGUUUUGUCAGCUUCAAAAUAAUAAAAGAGUUUUUCUUUAACAACUUGUACUUGCCAUCAUUUGACAAUUUAAUAUGUUCUUGCAAAGAUUAGCAUUGUGAGGUUCUCAUACAAAUGGUAGUCGCUCUUUGUCCCCUUAUACAUAUUCCCAAAAGGUUCUUUGGCUUUGAGCAACCAUCAUUAAUGGGAAGUCUUUUGGAAACAGGGAGUUGGGGAGGAACCUUUACAAGGCAGAUUUUCGUCUAGUAACCCGUUUGUACUAUGCUUUUCUCUCACUUAUUCCUAGAAAUUCUUCAGCAGCAAAAUCUAGUCUGGGAAUGAAGGUACGUUUCGUGAUGCAAUCUGUCUCUCUACAGUUUUGCUAAAUGGACUCACUUAAAUCAUUGCAGGACCGAAGAGCUGGACGGGAACAUGGACAUUCACAUUGGGAAAUUUUGAGGGAUAGGUUGUUGGACAAGCGUGUAACUGAAUCAGGUGAUAGUAGUGGAUAUGAUAGCAGAGUUCCAGGCAAUAUGUCAAUGUCAAGAAAGCAAGAUCCUGAAGGGCAAUGGCCUUGAUUAUUCCUUAACAAGGUGAUGUGUUGGACAUUAUCUUGCCUACUUCUUUCCAUGAAGAGUUGGUUUCUCUCUCUACAGUGUAUCUAGUUCACAAUAUUUUUGCCUUUAACCCCGUGUAGAUUCUGCUGCAUUUUGUCCCAUUCUUAGUGUAGUGUCAGCCACUUCUGGUUUUGAAGUAUAAUCUUGGUGGGAUCUCUGGAUGUUGAAGUUGUCUUUUAUGAUGUAGGCUUCUAUUCAGAAGAUUUUGCCUGGAUUGAAUCUCUCUAUGGUGUGGGUUUUUUCCUAUAAUAUUGGCUUCUAUUCUGAAGAUUCCCCAAAUGCUGUUAUCAACUGAAUGCUCUCCAUGUCAAAUUUGGUCUAGAAUUUUCACAACUUGUCGCUGUCUUAUGUAUUCUACUAUUUGCUUGUCUCUCGGACUAUGCUACAAACUCAUGCAUUGACAAUCGUUCCAUCACAUGGCUCAUUAUAUGCAUAUAUUUAUCCUUUUUAAGUCUCCUUCUCUUUUUAUUUGUCCAUUUGUGGUAAAGUGAUUAAAGCUAUGCUGACAUAUAAUGAGGAUUACUUGUCAAGCACCAUCCUUAGGAUAAUGAAGUUGCUCGACCAUUACAUUUAAAUUCUAAAGCUGCGCUUUUGCAUUGAUCUGAUCGUUUCCACAACUUCAGCAAGGAACAUAUUUUGUUAACCAAAAAGGGAAGAAAUAUGAAUUGUACUCAUGUCAAACUCAUUGAAGCUGAAUGGAUAGAACGCUUUUGUGGAAACAUUACAAAGAUAAAAGGGAAAAUCCCUCACUGGAUGUAUCAUGUUAGGAGAAAGGACUUGACUCGAGAACUACUAAGAUGAGCCUUUUUUUUGGCAUGGAAUUUGGUGGGUAUGAAAAUUGGGUCCUGCAACUCACAUGCACCUAAAUGCAGUUUUUUUGGCUUUGAUGUGGAGGAGUUUUGGGGGACUAUUUGUGACAACUAGAAAUUGUACUUUUUUGAGGAACAAGGUGAGAGUGCUAGUAUGAACACCUAGAGGGGGUGAAUAGGUGUUUAAAAUAACCUUGGCAAAUAUAUGUGGAAUAAAAUAAACUUCAAGUAAAAUAAAUGAGUUAAGGAAGAGAAUAAGAACACAAUGUUUAUAGUGGCUCGGCUUAAUUCAAGCCUACGUCUACUCUCCCAUGCUAACAGCCUUCUUGGCUGGAUUCCACUAUGCAAUCAACAAGAGAUUACAACUUUGAGUGCAAACACUUAGUAGUAGAUCACACUAUCUCACUAAGUCACUCUUUUGGUAUUUCUCUCACAAUCACAAACGUUUAAGCUCUCCAAAGACAAGUGUAUAAUCGAAGGUCGCUCAGACUUUGGAAUUAUAAAUUCUACGCUCCGUCUCUUACUUGCUUAUCGGUCCUUCAUCUCCUUAAAUACUCCUCCACUUCCAAACUAGCCGAUGGACAGCAUCCUAGAGAAUCGUCUUCCAAUAUACCCAUUGGACAGCUCUGUAUCUAGAAGAUUUGGUAGCCGUUGAGUGACAAAGGUAGAAUCCCAAAAUGAUUCCGAUCGCCCAUACAAAUGGAAUCUUGGUUUCCAUAAGUAAAGCUUCUUUGUAUAGAAAGUUAUUGUCUUCAAGAUCCAAUCGUCAAUCAAUUAGAUUGAAUCAAUCAAAUCAAUCUUGAUGUGGAAUCCAAACCAGAUCACUAGCCAUUAUAUGAUUGGGCUUGAGUUACGUUCUAUCGAAUCUGGAUGUAAAGUCUGAGAGCAAUGGACUUUACAAUAUGAGUCUGAGUACUAUAGACUUUGCAAUAUGAGUUUGAACAAAUUCUGCUUCUGAACAAAUUUAGCUUUAAGGUCUGAAUACCGUCUGAAUAAGUUCAGCUCCAACAUAGAGUCUGUCUUCUGGUUCAGCUUCAGCAUAGAGUCUGUCUUCUGGUUCAUCAUUCAUGUUCAGUCUGGAAUUUGUCAGAGUAAGUAGACUUCUGAUGUAGAACAGACUUUGACACUAAAGUUUGGCAAUUUUCAGACUUUAAGUCUUGAGUUUGGCAGUCUUCAGACUUUGAUAAUAUCCUCUACAUGUUCUAACAUCUGCAUGGUUUAUUACUUAACCAUCAAACAUGUUAGUAGCUUUUGAUUUAUUUUGUCAUCUUCAAAACAUUAUAAGGGAUUUCCCUAACACAAUGGGCCCUUAAUGUUCUUGAAUCUUGAUUUUGAUGGAGGAGUGGCAACAAGAUACACACUUUUUGGCACCGAUCUUCUUGUCGUCUUGGGAUGGGUUCUUUUAUUCAUUUGGUUUGAAGAAACUGCGACGGUAUCUUGUAUGAUUCUCUCUUUUGCAGGGCUUUCUCAGGUUCAUAGAGAGGUGAUUUGGGCAUGUUCGAUUCCUUUUGUUAUAUGACUUUUCGAGGUGAAGAGUGUCACACCCCAAAACCACAAAAAUAAUGGGAUGACACAGCCACCCUUCCACACGAAGGAUGUAGUCUCAAACACAAUCAAUAACCUGAUAUCAACACACACACACACACACACACACACACACACACACACACAUAUAUAUAUAUACACACACACACAGUUAAAACUCAGCCCGACCAUUAGCAAGAACUCUGUGCACCACUUCCUCAAACCAUACUAAAAAAUAGAACUCUCAAAAGUUUCCCACCGAAGACACUCUCGUUUUAUUUGCCGCUAACCAAGGAACCUAAAAAGAUUAAAGGAUGAGUGAAAUAAACAACAAUAACUCAGUGAGUAGUACAUAUCUUUUAAGUAGAUCGAGCAACUAUUAUGCUUGUAUACAAAUCAAUACCAAACUUCAUAAUUCAAACUCAAUAUAUAAAAUACAUAUCGAAUCAUAUAAGAGUUAUUUCUUAUCAUCAAAACUUUAUACUAAUAUAAAAAACUCAUUUAAAUCACUAUCAAAAGUUAAAUAUUAAUGGUCAAGUCCAUUGAAUAAUCUCUAUCGAAUAUCACAUAUCAAAGGUCCAUCCAUUAACUAAUCUAUUAUUCAAUACUCUACCAUGGUCACGACACAAUGCCUAUUGACAAGGCAACCAGAAUUCCCCCCUCGGCAAAGUCUCCACCUACAAAGCUGGUGGCUCGGCCUAAAAGGAUAUCCUAAACCUAGUAUGCAUACCUUAAAAACCCCUCACUGAAUUCACAAUCAUAUUGAAUAUAAAUAACCAUCCUUCAAUAUCAGAAAUCCAAUCUAGAAAUCAAUAUCUUAAAUCAAGCAAUAACAUUUUGCAGUAUAGCCCAUCAUCCAUUUCCUAUUCAUUUGUCAAAUAAUCAUAAACAUUUCCAUAAAUUAGUCGCAAAGUAAUUUCAUAUAUAUUACUCCACAGACUUUGUAUAACACGCCUUUCAAACAUUCAUAAUAAACCAAAAAGUAACAAAUGCUCGAUCCAGCUUUUAUGUAAUAAAAAUGCUCUUCGAUUCAAUAUAUAUAGACACACACAGUUCAAGACAUGAUUUUACAAAAUCAAAGAAGAAAUAGUACCACUCACCUCAUCGUCUACAACCAAACGAAAAACGAUACUUGUAUCGUCAACUCACGGCACUAUCAAAUAAUCGAGGAAUAAUGUUAAAAUAUAAUAAAACUCUAUCUCAACUACGAAACAACUAAAUUACGCCUUAAUUCUAAUAAAAUGACUCCUAUGCGCUAACAAAUCACAUAACCAAAGUGAUUGCUCAAAUCAUUCACAAGGCGGAGUUUAAGUGCAAAAUCUAGUUAUACUAUAACUCCUUUGAUUCGCGUCCCAAACAUAUUUAUAGUCAAAAGAAAGCCCUUCAAAUAUACUAUAAGAAUCCUAAUUUGACCGUCCCAAAAUCAAGCCAAAAAAUGACGAAAUAUGGGUCAAAAGCCGCUGGACGAGUUUUGUUCACUACACGUGGAAAACUUUGAAAUUUUGUUUUGGACAAACCAUAAGCUCAAAUCGCGAUUCGUAAAAUCAUAUGGCUCCAUUUCUAUGAAAAUAUGUGGCUUAACGUCUCCAAAAUCGGAUUUCAUCGCUCGUUUUUUCAAAAAUUCCGAAUUUGAGUCCUAAACCCAUAAAUUAUUUCAAUUGCACGAACGAGGGGCCUAAUCUCUUUACCAGGCGCUGUGUUAUGGAGUCGAGUUGGCUUGGCAAGGGAUCUGUGGUAUCCACAUGCCAAAACCCCUUUCAUUUCUUCCCCUUUCUUGUCUUUUUCUUGUUCUUCUUCUCUUUCUUUCCUUUCUCUUGUCUUUCUCCCGGAGUGGUUCAGCUCUUUAAAGUGAGCGACCACUGCUCACCCCUUUUUCUCUUUUCUUUCUUUUUUUCCCCCCUACUUUUUGACUUUUCAACCCUUCUUUUGUUUUCUUCUUUUGGGCCCACCAGCCAAAUAUUACAAAGAGAGGUGUUAAAUGUGGCAAUUAGGAAUUGUGAUCCCUGUUUUGGAGUUUUAAAGAAGCAGCAGGGAGGUGAAGAGAGUCGGAAAGAGAGACGAUGUCGUCCAAAAUCCCUAAAACGGGCUAAUUGGAACUACAGGCAAACUAAAAUGUUGUUUACCUGUAGCACGAAGACAUUUAUAGAAACUAAAUUGAAGAUGCCACUCCGCCCCAAGCAUGAAUCGCAUGGUUAGUGGUAAAAUUAAAAGGUGAAGACGGAUGGAAAAUUUGGGAUAAGCAACUUAAGAUGAAUUUCAUUAGGCGAAAAAUCUGUAAAACCUGAUGACAUUGAUUUCUUUUGUCGACCUGUCUCGGAAUUUUCGUUACUCAUGGGUUCUUAAUGUCAUCCCUUUCGAAACAAGCUUCAAUGGGAACUAAUUCGCUAAAUGCCCUCCAUCUGUGAUGAGACGCAAACUCAAGUUUUUGGUUGAUUGGGACAAUCUUCUGUCCUUCGGCUAGAUACCAUGCUCAUGUUCAAAUUGCAAGAUGCCAUAUGCUUAUCGUAUCACAGAUUGAAGUGCCACAAUGGGCACGAGACUUGAAUCUACCCUUGCCACUGACUUACAAGUUGCAAAAGCCGGCUUUUUCGUUGAUUGUUUGCGAGGAAAGACGUAUGGAAUGAUCCUGACAUUCUAUCCGAGGACAAGCUUCAACCAAGUCAGCUUUUUACGGAAUUAUGAUGGGAUAUGUAGAACACAUUUGAUUUGGUACGGUUCAGUAUUUCAGAUUUUUGAUGACAGAGAUCGAGAAAGGGCUAUGCAUUAGAGAUUGUAAAGUUUCAUCAUAGUUGUUUAUUUAACAAAAACUUCUCGAAACUGAUAAACAGAUCAAGCUUCGGGCGUCAAUGGUUUGGAGCUUAGACUUGUGGCAACAAUGGGGCUUUUGACCACAUACUUUCCACCAUCGUCCAUCCAACUGAGAGAACCAGACACCACAGUCUGUUUCAUCUGUUUUGGACCUUCUAUUGUCAACUUAUAACUCAGCUUCUCAUACUUCUCUUUGAAUGUCAAUUUAUCUGGCACGACACUGACCUUGAAUUCCUCCAUCGGAUUUACCUCUGCUGUGUAGGUUGACGCCCCAGCUCCCACGUUCGUCACUGUCCUGUAGAAGUCUUGCACCGUCAGAGAGUCCGAGCUGUUCGAACUAAAGAAGGCAAUGAAGGAAGGGUAGUUCAGGUCCAGUGAUGGGUUUGAACAAUUGUAGGAAGAGGACCUGGUGACCAUUUGAAUUUGCUUCGAUGUGUAAUUCAUUGCACACAUGAGGUUUACAUAGUCUUGGGGCGUCACGUCGUAUAUGAGCCCAGGGUCUAAUGCCUUGUUCGGAUCGACAUGGCCAGCUCCCAUCCCUACAGGGCUCGCCGGUUUGUAAUCAUUCCCAAUGUCUUUGAUAGGGCUAUUUGUGCUGUCCCUUGUAUAUGAUGUAGUCAUCAUGGCCGACCGGAUGGCUGCGGGGCUCCACUUGGGGUGCACUCCCCUUAGGAGCGCAGCCACUCCAGCUAUGUGUGGGCACGCCAUCGAUGUUCCUGACAAGAGGCUGAAGUCGUUAAAUAGUUUACGCGAGUCCACUACAUCCACUGGAAUAUUUUGAGGCCACCCAGCCAGGAUCAGUGUGCCAGGAGCCAAAAUGUCAGGCUUCAGGACAACCGGGCAACUUGGGGAUGGGCCACGAGAGCUGUAGUCUGCCAAGCUCGGAGCAGGCUUGCUUCCGAUGAGUGUUUUCCGAAAUUGGAUACUUGCUGUUGGCUUGGACGAGUUCUUGAUGUAGGCUUUGACGGUAUCACCAUCUGCAGGACUCAAAAAGACUAUAGGGAAUGAGGUAAAGAUGGAGAAGUAGGGGUAGGAGCUGUUUACUAUGAACAAACCACCAGCGACAUUUGCUCCACUGACAUUUUGGAUUUGAUUGCUUACAGUUCCACGCUUGUCCUCACACACAACAAUAUCAGAUGGACUGAGUUUUUUCAAUUCGACUGUAUUGUUGCAUGCUCCUACGAAGACAAUUGGAGAUUUACUCAAGGACGGGUUGCCUAGAAAGAGAGUUGAGCCUGCAAUCAAGACUCCGUUGCCAAGAGUAAUGGUUCCCCCAAAGUCACGGUCUAUUUCCCCGGCAGCAACAGUUAUGGCCCAGGGAAUCCCGUUGUGCAGGGUCUGGAGGAAAGGUCCGUCAUUUCCCGCGGACAAUGAUACAAAGAUCCCUCUCUCUAUGGCUGCGUAUGUGGCUAUUGCAAUCGGGUCCUCAUACAAUGGAACACCAUCAAAGCCUAAUGACAAGGACAGGACAUCGACCCCAUCAAUGAUGGCUUGAUCGACUGCAGCGAGGACAUCAGCAGCGUAAAAGCCUUCAUCCCACAGGGCCUUGUACAUGGCCACUCGGGCCAGUGGAGCCACGCCAGAGGCAGUCCCUGGAGCAUAGCCGAAGUAGGAGGCAUCCGCAACAUAAUUUCCAGCUGCCGUGGUGGAUGUGUGGGUGCC
rnacentral:lncRNA from 1 species